AUUUUUUUUUUUUUAUUUUUUAGUAUUGCAUACUGGUAGAAUAAUAUGUCAUUUUUAUGAAUUAUAGAAAUAAAUUGUUUAAAAUUGGAUUUUUUUUGUUUUUACGAAAUUAGGUAUAUCCAGUUUGGUUAUUGAUAAGACGUAUUUUUAUUUCUGUUUUUUAUUUUUUAUUGUUUAAGUUAUAUCUCUAUUAGGUUUGGUUUUAAUUUUUUUAUUUUAUUAAUGUUUUUUUGUUUUUUAUAUUUUUUGUUGUUUUUUUUUUUUGUUAUGGUUAAUUUUGUAAUCAUUUUAUAAUUUUUACUUUAGUAAAAUUUGUUUUUGUGGAUGUUUUUGGUUUUGAAUUUUGUUUUUGAACUAAAUUUGUUGUUAAAUGUUUAUUAAAAACUUAGGUUUUUUUUUAAAGUUGUCUUCUGCUCAAUGAGUAUUUAAAUGGCAGCCUUAGCGUGAUGGCAUAAAAGUAGCGUAAGUGAUUUGUUUUUUUAAUGUUUUCAAGUAUGAAUGAAGUUUUUAGCAAUUUUUUUGUUGUCUUUUUUUUUGAAUUAUUUUUUUUAUUAAAAAUUAUGGAUUUUAGUAUUACAAAGAUAAGUCUUCGGAAAUUUUUUUUUAGGAUUAGCUAUUUUUUUUGUUUUCUAAAUUUUUCUUGGGGAUGGAUUUUAGAAAAUUUUUAUACUAUUAAUAUUUUUAAAAAUUACUUCGGAGUUAACAGGGUUGUGGACAUAUAAAUAGUUUUUAUAUUAUUAUGCUGCGCUACAUCGAUGUUGUAUAUUUUUUAGUGAGGGGGAGAGAAUUUUUUUAGUUUGAGACUGUUCUUCUUGUAUAAAAAUUAAACUUGAUAUUAGUUUAGUUCGUCGUGAGACAGAGCGGUUUAUCUUGUAUAUUUUUUUUUUUAUUGGUGUUAGUACGAAAGGAAAGUUAUGAAGGCUAAUAUUUAUGGCUUUUGUAUUUUUAUGGAUUUAUU
rnacentral:rRNA from 1 species